CUAUCACAAUGAGAGAAGAUCUCUCGAAACCAAGUAACAAUGACUUCAUAAUCUGACAAGUAAAGGUCCAAAUAGAUCCUCAUUAAACACUUCCAGAUGCGGCAGCGACGAGGGUGCGUCAAGGAACGCCUUGAUAGAAGUCAUAAAGAUGCAAUCCGACAUCCUCCAGAUUCGGAAACGCAGAGACAAGGAGCGAAACAUAACCACCUCGAUGAGCUUCGAAAUCAAGAACAAAAACGACACUCAUCUACAACGGAUAUCAUCACCAGAAACUUCCACCUAAGAGAAGAAAGAUCUGAAGCCAAACGACACUAGCAUAAACUUCACACAACAAAGGCCUCAUCUUAGAAAGGAGACGAACCAAACGAGCAACUAUUAGCUAAACCAGGCAUUAAGGGUGAGCGGAGAGGCUAAGGCAAGAUGGAAGCUAACUACAGAGCUCACACAAGCCAAGCACGCGACAACAAAACACCAUGAAGCACAAGAGCGAGUAACAGAUCUGGAUUAGGGGAAGGCGAAAAACAAUGGCUUUAUUACAUACCCGUCACCGUCGAUCUCAGAUCCGGCUCCAUCAUCUUCGCAAGAGCCCUGAACCACAAAUCUGAAACACUCAAACCGCUUCCGACAAACACCCAAAAUCACAAACCGAUCAAACUAAAUCGAAACCCCAAUCGAAGGCCACAAGAUUCUUAAACUUAACACAAAACUAAAACCAAGAAAGGAAAGAACAAAAGGAGGACCGAAGCCGGUGCUAGAGGAGCCACCGUACUCCGGUCACCGAUCUGGGCAAACUUGUAAACUUGAGUGAGCGGCGGCUAGGUCUAGUCCCAAAAAAAAAAAACGAAUCUUUUACAUAAUUGUUUAAAGAUAUGAAAUUUUUGGUGUUGUACUUUAUAAAAAA
rnacentral:lncRNA from 1 species